ensembl:lncRNA
CAACAAUAAGAAUAUCAGAAGAGUCAAGAAUAAUGAAGAAAUCAGGAGCGUUCAUCAAAUAUGUUUAUUCUUUGUCAGGGAGAAAACCACAGGUUGUAUUCACAUCACAAGGAAAGGAAGAGUAUUUUUGACUCUAGUCAUAAUCAAGCAAUGUAAAACAGUCACAACUAGAGUAAUGCUUUAAUAUCAGUAUGUCCAGAUUCCUUCCAGAAGGACUGCUAAAAGAGCAAGUUAGGAAGCUCUUCCAGAGGCUGAUUUUAAUAACUCAGAAAAUAAAUGUUUGGGGGCUUGGAAGAAGUGACACAAAAUUCAGUAUUAUGCUCCUUGAAAAAGCAUUUCUUUUCAAAUUUUGAAGGAUAGAGGAGGUCCACCGAAGACUACCAGCUCUACUCUUUAAAUUUGUGGUUGGCUUUGGUGAUGCAGUAACAGUUUUUUAUCAGUAUUGUGCUACAGUAGUGAGAUAAAGCCUUGAAGCAGAGUGGUCCAGAGCAGAUGCAGAAACCCACAGUUGAUACGAGAUACUCUUCUCCCCUCUACUUUUAUGCACACUUAGGUAAUUAACCUCCACAAUGAAAAAAUAAAGCAUCUAUGAAAAAGUAGCAAAGAAGUAGCCAACCUCAUCUAAUCUUUACCCAAGUCAGGAGCAGCCAUGAAGCCUGGGCUCUGGAAAUCACUGAAAUUUCUUUUUCUUUUUAAUCUGUAAUUUCUUUGCUGAAAUAAAGGGCGUUGAAUUCCUUGAGGUGAAGAGACAAAUUCCCUUUUUGCCCUGAACUUUCUGAAAUACUCAGCACACACUUCCAAUCUCCAAACCACCAGUCCUGCUUUAAAACUCUCCCUGUAGGGUUGGGUGGGGUUGAACUCACAGAUCAGGACAUGGGAAUGUAGAGAGGUAUCCAAAUUCCUGCUGCAGUCACUGGAAACAUAGUCAACACCAUCAGUGAAAUCUGACCUCCCCACUUCUAAGAUGUGUCUCUUGACUCUUUUUAAAAAGGAAGGAAAAUGAGAGCGUUCCCCCAAAUGCUACAUGUGCUUUUCUAGCUCCAGACAGGAAAUAGCAUUGCAUCUGAGCCAGGUUAACGGGGGAUACAGAGCAUGACUGUUCUCCCCCGAAAUCCAUAUUAUAGCCAUUUUUACCUUGCAGCAUGGAACUAAGAAAUGAUCAGCAGGUUUGCUCAGUCUAUGCCUUAACCUUUGGCGGAAAUUCCCCCACCUCACAAACAGAGUAGGAAGCAUACGCACAGCUUGAGAACCAAAGGCAUGAAAGUACAUUUUCAUCAGAUCUUAGAUGAUCAAGAUAUGCUGCCAAGUGACUAUUUAUAGGUACCUGGUUGUCGCACAUGCUUUGCAGUAUUCCAGAAUGUACUAAAAACAGACCCCAAAUGGAGGCAAUACCCUGCAGCACCACCUCCGAUGAUAGAAAUAUUUUCCAGCCUGCCAAUUUCACAACCAAACCAGUGCCUGUUAAAUAAACACCACGAGGAGAAAAAAAGUUUCAUCCACAAUUGAAGAAAACCUGACAAUUUCUCAGCAAUCAGCUAUUUCUGUUGGAGGUCCGUCAGACACUUCUGGAUGAUAUGUGUUUCUCAGCUGUUCUCAUUUGGAACAAGGGUAUAAUGCAGGUGUACAGUAACUUUAAAAAGCAAUUGGAGAAGCUGAGAUAUUGGCUGAAUUAGAAGGAAUCCCGUGGUGGAACUCAGACUCAAGAUUAUCUAGUUUGUACCCAUAGUCUAAGCACAUUUCCAUCCCAGUUUGUGCCUGGAUUUUAGUACAAACUGCACAUGGUUAGACAAGACAAGGAGAUUUUUAAAUGUGUUGAUGAUCUUUUUGCUUUGCAAGCCAUGCCCGUUGUCGGUUAUGCACAAUCUUCAAAUCUUCACUCCUGACAUUUUUUCUUGAAAGUCUUUUAUUUCACAUUCCUUGGGUAUUCCUCAGAGCCCUGCCCAAUCCUCCCGCUUGAACGUCACUCACUCACCUUCCCCACACGCCAAGCACUGCACCACUUGUUGACUUACUUAACAAUACAGCCUCGCAAGAUCCCAAGAUGCUCAUCAUCACCAUGUUUGGUAAUGUAAAUACUCUCUGUAAGAGAAAUGAAAGUUUUUAUAAAUUAUUUUUUUUAUUCUCUUUUCUACUGUGCUCUUACUGACAUUUUUCCCACAUAAAAUUAUUAAAACUGAAAGUUUAGCACUUUUUGUUGACUUUCAAAAGAAGCUACCAAGCUGAAAUAUAUUUAAAAAAAUACACUGAGCUAGACAGAGAGUGGACAUUGAGGAUCUUGGCAGGAUUCAAGGUUCCUCCAGCUGAAUUGCAGUAAACUGAAAACAUUUAUAAAGCUAGCCUGAAAUCUUCAGCAGCCAAAUCAGCCUAGCAAAGUGGAGUCCCUUCUCCAGUGCCCUCCUUGCAGCACUGUUUGCCACCAGCUGAAGACGCUUCCUGCUCCAUCCCAGCCCCUCUGGGAAGUUGUCUGGUUUUUCCCAGCCAGCCAAGUCCACUUGCAUUUCCACUCUGACUGCCCAGGGCCAUCCCCUUUUAGCCCAUGUGCCCACUUGGCAUGUCCCCAGCCCCUUCCCCCUGCCUGUGUUUGUGUUACUACUGUCUACACAUAUACAGAUUGCAGCCCGAUCACCACGUUGGCACUUCAAAUGCUCAGCACCUGUUUUGAAGGUUAACAGAUAGUGACAAGUAUAAUCACAGCCUCUUCUAAGUUUUAGCCUGCCAGCCAGUCAAUUAUUUUAGUAUUUCUGGUAGCUUGUUUCUCCUCCCACACACAUACCCCACCACUCUGUAAGCCAGCUCUGCAGGCAGUUGCAACACACUCUACUUUGGGAAGAUGCCACCUUUUCUUUCUCCCCUUCCUGGCGGUUGACAGCUUUUGAUGCUGUCCUUCACCAUGCCAAAGCACUACACCAUGACACAGCUCCUAGGUUGAUGCUUCUAAGCUUUGUCCACCUGUUAUUGGAAGGUGCCACCUCAUGAGGAGAGGCUACCCCUGAGGCUCCAGCCUCACUUUCCACCUCCAUGGGCUCUGAGUUCCAUGGCCAAAAGGAUUAAUGAGCCACACAACUCAUGGUUGCACGCUGUAGGCUUGGAGAUUUGAGCUGAGGACACUGAGGGCAGGAAAUGGAGGGAUGAGCCAUGAUGCUAGCUCACAUAUCCUCAUCUAAACGUACCUGUGACCAGAAAAUUCCUCCUAAGCCCAGUGUGUAGGGCUUUCAAUUGUAAGAGAGAGUACUUUGACAGAGGUCUUCACCCCAGGCAACCUAGGCGAAAGUAUUGUGCAGGGAGGAAAACAGGGAAAAGGGCACUAUUUUCUUUCAUUUUAGACCAGAAAGGAGAAACAAGGCCCUCUCCCUUCCCUCCAAAGAUGUCAGCAGGACUAUGGUUGUUCAAAGUCUAUCUCUAUUAGCAAACCUGAUGACCCAAGCUAAGCAGCAUUGAUGCCAAACGACAGUCCUCUCUUCAGGGUGCAAUGCACUGCAAUUGAUUACUGAGGAUAGAAAGGAAAUGUCAAACCUGGUGGACAAAACCUGGAUGGGAAGAGGCAAAAAAUGCCAGGUUGCUGCUUCAAGAAACAGACAGUCAACUUUUUAAAAGAUACAUUAUUUUUUCCCCACAUAAACUGAAAAAAAAGGAAAGAAAAAAAAGCAGCUGGAAAUGCCAAAUUAAAUGGUCAUCAAGUCUGCUGACCAAAAUAAAGCAAACAUAGCAGCACUGGAAAGAGCUGUUAGGAGAUGACAGCCUUCAGCUCUUCUUGACAGUGACAUCCAUUGCUCACUUCCCAUGCAGCAGGUAUGCGUCCUAAGGUUGCAUUAGAGCCAAUUGAAGGCAGCACAUCUCUGCAGAUGAGUGGUAGGAUUUGAUGUGAGAGGGACAAGCCUGGAAGUGAUGCCAAGAUGAGAACAGACAGAAAGAACAAGCCCAGAUCCCACCUGCCCUGUCCACAGAGAGUGCUGGCAGAGGCCAAGGAGAAGGCAAAUGUGGGACUGACUCCUGUGCAUCACAGAGUGCCUUUGUAGCACCUGAAGGUACUGGUUUAGCAGAUCAACCCAACUGGUUUCAUUUGUUACCUGGACCAUGGAGCGUAAAGACACAAAUGCAGGUGAUAACAGCUCAGCCAGGGCAGCUCACACAGGUUCAUCAUCCACUUAGUAGGACAGAAUCUCCUCCAUUGCUCUAGAGCACUGGUACAUAAAGGCUGCUUGCUCAGGCUACACACCAGCAGUGCUCUGUUUGGAGGCCGACAACCCUUCUGUGGGAGGAAACAGUGUGAGGUGAGGAGGUGGGUGCCAAGUUCUCUUCAUCCCUUUCCAGCCACAACACUGCUGCUAAAUUUAGACAAAAUCAUUUUGCACACCGUGCUCUUCCCAGUCACACCAGGCAACCUGAACUCGAUCCACAGCCCAGACUUAUUUCUGUUCACCUGGUGACCACACAUACCUCCAGAACAUCCCAUGACUUCAAGGUCUGCCGGGGUACCCAGCCAUCACUGCAUAGGAAAAGCCAGAAAAAUGCAUGGAAGUUGAUAAUGUGGUGAAUCCAACAUUCCCAGGAAGAGCUGGGAUCUGCGUGUUGUCUAAUUAUUGCAUAAUGCAAGUCAAUGUAACUCCUCCAGUACAAAUAAGGGCCGUGUUAAAAACAAAGCUGUUCCCAAAGAGACCUAACUUCACAAACACUUUUUUUUUAUUUUCCUGAGAGAAAGCAAAUGCUUUUUCCUUGAGACAGGAGAGGAGGAAAUAGCUGCUCAGAGCUCCCAUGUCCUCAACUACAUGACAGGUUGGUAAAGAGCAAUGAAACAGCACAUUGACUAAGCUUGUACUAUUAAAUUCAAACUAGCAAUGCCACAAGAGUUUUCCCAGUAUCAUAUAAUCAAAUGAAACCAAAAUUUCCAUUCCAACUGCACUAAUGCCAUUGGAAUGAUGAGUCGGGAAGCACCAGGAAAGGUCAUGCUGUAAAAUAAGCACUUGGUGCUUAGUUUGCAGACGAGCUUGGGUUUCUACAUGGCAUGGAUUGGGGGUUAUUAUCCAUUUUUAUAUACUUCUUUUUGUCAUAUUUUAGAAGCAGAGCUUUUAGAAGCCUGAGAAACAGUAUGUUUACAUAGUGCCUGUAAAAAAACCAAUAAUUAAAAUACUCUGCAGUAUAUUGUUAAUCUGAUAUCAAAAAUAUCUGAAAAAAACAACGCCAUUAGCAAAAAAUCAUAGGAUCUGUCCUCAGAAAAAGGAAGCGACACAACACACCUAUAUUCCACAAUGACAUCCAAAAGUUUCCCAUUUGUCAAAGCCAAAAUAUUGUCAUGAGCACAGCAUGUCUGAAUGAAAUCCAAGAUGGGUGGGUGAGUGGGAAAAUGCCAGAUCCUUUUAUUUUUUUCCUCAAAAAUUUAUGAAAGGAAAUAGUAAUUUCAUUUACAAAGGCCUUCUCUUUGGAAACAUCUAUUUAAAAAAGGGAAAAGGAGAAAACACCAACAGCCAAUUCUAGCUACAUACAAUCUUGCCAAAGCAGUCUUUGUAAUUAUAUUACUCAAGAGAGAUCUGGGCUGAGACUUGAGUUCCCCAGUGUUUAUGUAAUUAAAUACAUAACAACAUGAAAGAAUUUGUUGUUUUUGCCACGGUCAGUUGUGGCCUGGGCUGGAAGCUGUGGCCAAACUACCAGCAUCAGGCCCUGUGAGUUUGUUUUUCCCUAAGUAAUUCUGUAUAGACUGCAUGUGAUCUCCAAACAAAGACAUGGCUGAUAGCACCCAGCAUCAGUGAUCACAACCCACCCCAAAAGCUCCCAGACAUGCAUCUUGUACAGUUCAUUCCCUUUUGUCAUUUGCUGCACUGUCAUUUGCUGAGCUGCUCUCCAUCAUAUUUGAAAAUCAUGGCUGUCUGGUGAAGUCCCCAGUGACUGGAAAAAGGGAAACAUUACUCCCAUUUUUAGGAAAGGGAGAAAGGAUGACCCAGGGAACUACAGGCCGGUGAGCCUCAGCUCUGUGUGUGAGAAGAUCAUGGAGCAGAUCCUCCUAGAAGCCAUGUUAAGGCACAUAUGAGAUAAAGAGUUGAUUCAAGACAGCCAUCAUGGCUUCACCAAGGGCAGAUCGUGCCUGACCAAUCUGAUGGCCUUCUAUGAUGGAGUGACAGCUUCGGUGGACAGGGGACGGCCAGCAGGGAGGGGGAGGUGAUUGUGCCCCUCUACUCGGCUCUUGUGAGGCCCCAUCUGCACUACUGCAUCCAGGCCUGGGCCCCCAGUACAGGAAGGACGUGGAGCUCUUGGAGUGGGUCCAGAGGAGGCCACUAAGAUGAGGUGCUGGAGCACCUCUCCUGUGAGGAAAGGUUGAGGGAACUGGGCUUGUUUAGCUUGGAAAAGAGAAGGCUCCAGGGAGACCUCAUUGUGGCCUGCCAGUACUGGAAGGGAGCAUAUAAACAGGAAGGGGAACGGCUGUUUACAAGGGUGGACAGUGAUAGGACAAGGGGGAAUGGUCUUGAACUGAGACAGGGGAGGUUUAGGAUGGAUAUUAGGAGGAAGUUUUUCACACAGAGGGUGGUGACGCACUGGAACAGGUUGCCCAAGGAGGUUGUGGAUGCCCCAUCCCUACAGGCAUUCAAGGCUAGGCUGGAUGUGGCUCUGGGCAGCCUGGUCUGGUGGUUGGCGACCCUGCACAUAGCAGGGGGGUUGAAACUCAAUGAUCAUUGUGUUCCUUUUCAACCCAGGCCAUUCUAUGAUUCUAUGAUAUAAUUCUAUAAUUCCAUCACAGGAUUCAUCAGUUUCAGCUGCUAUGUAAAAACAGAUACAGAAGAGAGGAAAUUUAUUGACUUAACAUGUUAAUGCUGAAUUACUCUUUAUGAACCAGCAAAUAAUAUAAAGCAACUAUAUAAG